UUGUGUUAGGUUCCGGAAAAUAAACCGGAAUACCGACCAGCUCAAGCCGAGCCGAGACAUCCAUAGGGUUCGGCUUCUGCUGCGUUUCCACGGAUGCCGAGUCGCACCGAAGUCUCUUCCACGUCCACGUGGCUGGAUUAUGCUUACUGUCUCUCUUCCAUGUGGAGUAAAAUAUUCGUUAUUGCUCCUACGUGGCGAUCCGGCCGCCGUCGAAGUUCUGUGGAACUGCCGUCCCGCUGCUGCCCCACUCGGUCGCGUCGGCGCUUUCCAGGACGGAGCGCAUGGACACGUAUCAACUUAUGAUUGCUUCAUAGAAGGGCGUCAACUUCAGCACUCAAUUUGCGACGCCCCAACCGUCGUCGCCGGAAUCUAAUGUGAAAUGACGAUAAUGACCUCCUAGAGUGCACUAUCUACAUGUUUUGUUGUAUCUAUGAUACAUAGUAGAGUGGUUCAUAAAAGAUUUUAUAAGAUAAAUCCCGAGUCAAAAUCGUGUAUAUAGGGUGAUGGAGGGAUUAAUAAUUUUAUUUAAGUUCAAAUUUCUGUAUUUUAAUGUUCAAUUUAGUAUAUGAUUUUAGUGGGCUAACUAGCUAGGGUUUAACAAUUUUCAAAACUAAUAGUAAACUUGUGGCAAAUCGCGGUGAGAAAGGGAUGCAAUAUGGGAAGUAAAUGACCAAAUUUGUAAAAAAAAUAUCUGAUUACUUUAGUAAUAAUUUUAAAUUUAUAUUUAUAUUUACUUGGAAUAAAAUGUAGUCAAAAUUAUUUCAGCAUUGAUAUAGUAAUGGGUGCGAGAGUUAACGAGAGCAUGCAUGAGAAAAAAAGUAUAACUUCAAAUAAGAAAAAAGAAAUUUGCACAAGACAUCUAACCAAUUUUUUUUCUAUUCCUUUAUUUGUAUGUACUUCAUAUAUAGUUCGUGUAUCUAUUUUUAGAUUUUCUGAUUUUAGUUAUACCAUAGUUCAAUCCGAUAAGAAAUUAGAUCUUAUAUAUAUAAAGAAUCAGAUCUUGAUCUAAUAAGAUCAUCAAAAACUUAAUUUGCUCCAUACCCGAUCAUGCUAAAACAAUAGGUUGGAUUAUCAAGUUCUUCGGUAGCAUUUACACCCUUGCUUGGUCGCAAUAUCCGGGUAUUAUAUUUGGUUUUUGUUAGUAGUACUUUAUAUAAUAUGUUUUAAGUUGUUAAUUAUUAUAUGUCAUUCAUUGGAUAAGAUACUUUCAUCUUUGAAGUAACCAAUCACAAUUAAUAAUACUAGUCUUCUAUUUACAUCAAUCGCAAUUAGAUUGGUAACCAAAUAAAAAAUAAAAUAUGUUUAUCACCAACUUGAGAUAAUGGAUUAAAAUUUAUGAUACCAUGUGAAUUCUUCUUAAGAUUAGCCCUUUUAAAUCAAAUGUGAGAAAAAACUAUUUCUCUUGUUUAAAUAUCAAAAGUUUAUAAAUUAUUAUUUUUUUCAAGUUUUUGUUGGUACUUAUGACCUUUCAAAUCACAUGAGCCAUUCUCUUCAUGUGCUCCAAAUUUGGGUCAUAAUAAACAUUUUAAAGAGAAUAGAGAUAAUUUUUCCUCACUUCAAUUGAAAGUGAUAUAUGUGUAACUUUCUUGAAUGCAUUCGUGUUAUCAAUUCUUUUAAUCUCAUUCAUACUUAAAGUUUGCAAAAACCAAUAACAGCAGGAUAUUCAAGAAUUUUAGCCAAUAAUAAAUUAUUAGGAAGUGUGUGCAUGAUUGGUUAAUCAAUACUUAGAUUUAUUGAUAAAGGUCAUUUGCAUGGUAUGCAUUCAAUAAUUAAAGUUCUUGGUAUGAAUUAUAUACAUAUGCAAAUUAUUCUAUUCAUUUUAGACCCUUGCUUUUAUUGAAUCAAUUUCACUAAUUCAUACUACUUGUCCAUUGUAUUUUUAAAUAAAUUUGUUCCAUGGUGCUCUUUAUUAUACAAUAUGUCAGCAAAUGAACAGCUAAGUAGUUACCACAAAAAAAAAGAGAGAGAGGCUAAGUGACUCUUUGAUACCCAUUGGGGCUGCCUCAUUGAAUGUCAACAUGCUCUUCUUCAAAAGAGUUGACUUGCUUUUCUCCAAAAGAGUUUUAUAUUGAAGGCACAUUAUGCAUAAUUUUAUUGUUCAAAUGAAUGCAUAAACUUUGCAAAAAGGUGCAAAUGCACGAAUGCAGAACUGACUAUUAAGUAACUAUUAAGCAUGGUUACAUCAUUGAUGAAAAUAAAUAUGAGAUUUGCUACGCUACUCAAAAACUUAUCGUUUAGCUAGCAAACAAUUAGCUUCUUAGUCUCCACCUCAACUCUAGCCCGUAUGUCGAUUCAACAAAGUAAUUAAUAAAACCAAAGACUUCAUGAUAGAAUAGAGAUAAAAUUUGCAGCUGAGUAUAAUUCCAGUAAGAACUUCAACAAAGUUGUAUAAAAGAAUUUGAAGGUGCCUUCAGUUCUCACUGUGGAAUAAAGGGUACAGAAAACUUGAUGUAUUAGGAAUAAUGGGUAUUCCGUCUUUUUAAUCGUCAAUAGCCACACGUUCACGUCCAGGGUCCCACCCGCAAAAGGUGCUCAGGUCAUCAAGUCCAAAACCAUCAACGAGAUUCUAUUAGGGCUCGUUUGGUUCAUGGGAAAAGAAGAAAAAAAGUAUCGUCAACGGAAAAGUAAUGAGAUGCUUCUUGUUUGGUUGGAGUUUUCAAAGAAAAGAGAAGAAAAAGUUGAAUUUCCAUGAGAAUAUGAUUCCCAUAUUUCAUGGGAAAGUCUUUCCCAUGAGAAACAUGGGAAAGUUACUUUCCCAUGAGGCAGGAAUUACUCCAUUUUUACUUUUUUCCAAAAAGUCCCUUCAGCAUUAAAGAAGCAUUAAAGAGACAUUAAAAAUCUAAUUUUUAUUAAGGGCAUAAUAGGAAUUAUACAUAAUUUUUCUAGAAAAGUGGCUGGCCAACCAAACAUAAGCACUUUGAAAAUUUGUCACUUUUUUAUGGUCAAUCAAAUAUGCCAAAAAUAUUUUUUUAAAUAUUUUUUUUCUAAAAAUUUGUUCCUCAAAAAUUAUAUUUUUAGGAAGGAGAAUGCUUCCCGCGAACCAAACGAGGCUUAAUAAGAACAAGGCUUCGACGGGCCGCCUGCCAUCUCGUAGUUCUGGGAAUUGAAUCGCCAUCACCAGGCUUUUAGAAAGCAGACACGGUUGUGUCCUGGGUCCCACCGCCAUGCCGACCACCGGAGCGCGAGAAAGAGUACAUCUAUAUUUACAAGUCGGAAUCUUGUACUAAAGCGUAGCAUUAUAAACAAGAGAGAGUUUGGUAAUCCACUGGAUAUAUAAUAUCAAUCUUGAUGAUAAAGAGAAUCUGAGUAUUUUAUUAUGAUUUCUUUUUUAAAAAAAUAUAACUUCUAAUAAAUUUAAUAUUUCAUUUCAAACUUUUUUUUCCUUUCUUUUGGUGGUCCUACCAUGGUCGUUACAACAAAAAAAAAGUCACGUUAUCCAAGAAAAAUCUUAAUCAUGUCAAGGUGACUUGCAGUGCAUGAGCAUUGUCUGCCUACCAAAUUUAGUCAAAGUGGUGUCACAUCCUCAACUUAUCUCCCGGGUCGGCCACAUGAAUCCUAUAACGUUAUCUCUUUGGUCAUACAAAAACUAAGAUGAAUAAUUUUUAAUAUAAAUUUAAAUUAUCAAUUAGUAGUCAAUUAAUUCAACUAAAUAAAAUUAUUAUUAUUAAAUAAAAAAUUAAUUAUAAAAUUUUUAAAUAUUUAUUGGUAUCAGAAAAUAAACUAAUUAACUAACUCAUGAUUCUAAUGCUCGAACUCUAUAUCCACAUUUCCCAUGCUAUAUGUCCUGGGGAUCAGGAAAAAAAAGAGAAGGGAUAGUAUGAGCUUUAGUUAAUAUAGAUAAAAUAUAUUUAAAAUAAAAAUUAACUAUAAAUUAUAUCAAAAUAUAGGUAAAAAUCAUAAAAUCUCAUAUCGAUUAUUCAAUAUAGCUCGAUAAAAUCUAUAUAAACAAGCAUCCAUAAAUAUAUGCCAUCAAACAUAUAACCCAUUUCAAAAAAUAUGUAAAAUAUUAUCAUACAGUGAUUUUAUAUUUUUAAUCUUCCAUCUUUAUCCAGAUUUGUGAUCAAGCAAUAUUUUUCUGAUUUGAACUAUUCAUGGUCACGCUUUGGCCCAUGAAUGGUAAACCAUAAUUCCACGCUUCGGUCUGGGUAGCAAACCAAAAUAUUCAUACUUCAGUCCGCGGUAGUAAACCAAAAUAUUCGUACUUCGAUUUAUGGUGGCAAACCAAUGUAUCAUGAUUUGGCCCAUGACUGACAAUCUAUCCUUUGGUUCAUCAAUCAAAUCAUUCAAUUUUAUCCAUAUCAGAAAAAAUUAUAGUUUCAUAUUAUAUUUCAUGCCCAAAUUCCAAAAUAAUCAACAUCAUAUUCAUAUAGAUGAUUAUGUACAAGACUUUUUACCUCUACUGAUGACAGAUUCAAACACUAGGUACAUUGAUCCUCUCUUUGAUCUACGAACUCAUAGACAAAGUGAUUUGCUCAAUAUCUUCUUGCCCAGAUGAUUGUCCCACAAUAAUAUUAGAUCUAAUCAUCAGAGUGGCUACAAUAACCACGAUCAAUGGUAUAAAAUUAUGGAAGAAAUGGUAUUAAAUUUUAAGAUUACUUGCUUGGACCCCCGGUGACCCUCUCUCUUGGUGUCCACCUGGUCAACCAUAAUUUACCUUGAUAUCUAGACCCCCUAUUGAUUCAUAAAAUAAUCUAGAGAGAGAGAGAUAAAGAGAAAGAAAAGAGGAGAGAGAGAGCAAGAGAGAGAAAAGAGAGAGAAGGCAAGAGAGAAACAAUAGGGGGGAGACAAAGCCAUGGCCGGCCACCCUAAUGGCAGCGACCCCCCGACUCCAAAUAAGGUGGAACGAAGACUAGAAGACCGAAGAAGAGGAAGAGAAGAGAUCUAUAGGCCAUACCUUAGCUUCUAGUGAGAUAUCUGAUCCUUUUUUCGAACGGAUGGUGGCUCAUUGGAAUGAUUGAUGGAAAAAUCAAGAAAAUCCCAUAGAUUUCACAAGCGAUCGACAGGGGUUUGGGUGAGAUGGUUAGAGGGGAAAGGAGAAGCAUGAAUUUAGGGCUCCGGCAGGCCCUACACCUUGUGCUCAUCGGGUCCGGGAAGAAGUCGGACUUAUGGAAGGAGUCAACUUCUGUCUCAUGUGGCAUAAACAAUAUUUUUUAUUUCUUUAUUUGCUUUGAAAUUUGUGCGGGGCAGAGAUUGGGCCUAUGUGGGUCUUUUGGGCCGGUCAAUGGACUGGCCCUUACAUAAGGUGGUCCAGAUUUUAGGUAUUAUGAAGCCGAUGUGUUUAAAGAAAAAGAAAACCGAUUGCGAAAGGGGGGAGAUCAGAGGGAUACUGCAGAUACCAGAGCAGGAGGGGGCGCUCACCUACCUAGGCGUUCCUAUUACUGGCCGGAGGCUACGGGUGGCAGAGUGCUCGGGUUUGGUGCAGCGAGUCCAGAGCAGGUUGGAGGGAUGGAGGGCGUCCUCCCUAUCCAUGAUGGGGAGAGUGACACUUGUUAGAGCGGUAUUGGGAUCUAUACCGGUGUAUCUUAUGGCCAACACAUUGGUUCCGAAAACGAUUCUGUGAGGAUCGAGCGCCUUCUUCAGAGCUUCUUGUGGGGGUCAUACGGUGGAGGUCACGGAGUGCACCUGGUGGCAUGGGAGCAGGUUUGCCUUCCUACUGGCGAGGGUGGCUUGGGGGUGCAGUCCCUCAUAGUGAGGCGCGAGGCGCUCCUUGCUCGGCACGCGGCUCGGUUCCUGUUAGAGCCACAUGGCCUCUGGAGUCAGGUGAUGGCAGCUAGAUAUGGUCGGGGGGUUUCAGUGGCGGCGGGGGGGGGGGUCGGUCGAGUCUCCUUCAUGUGGCGCGAGAUCAGGAGGUACAUGCCAUCUGUAUUGGCACAUACUAGGUGUUUGAUUGGAGACGGCCAGAGUAUUGAUGUGACCGGCAAUUCAUGGGUGGACUCCCUUCCCUUGAGUUGCUGGCCGACUAUGGUUGAUACCGAGGCAGUGGAGGGACUACGGGUGUGUGACCUCCUAGUCCCAGGAGGGGCAGAGUGGGAUGAGGCCAGACUCAGGUUGUUGUUCGAGGCACACCUAGCUGCGAGGAUUCGGUCCCUUCCGUUACCUGAAUGUGGGGGGCCGGACGUCAGGGUGUGGGGUACCUCGAGCCGGGCCAGUGUCAGACUGGGAGAUCUUUCCCGCAUUAUUCAGGCGGAGCAUGAGCCGGGGCCGGACUGCACCUAGACUUGGAGGUCGGGACUUCACCCGAGGGUAGCUUUCUUCCUAUGGAAGAUAUGCUGGGACCGCCUUCCAACGAGAGCAGAGCUAAGCAGGCGAGGCGGGGGGUCCCGGUAGAGUGUGAGACGUGUGGAGCUGAGGAGUCAGUGGACCAUGUGCUCUUCCAGUGCACAUGGGUGAGGGCGACAUGGCAGUGGACUGGGAUCCCGCAGGGAGCGCGGAGUGCGCGACUACAAUUUCUCAGGGUGAUACGACAGUGGUUAGCCAGUUCACAGACUCGCGAGGAGGGUAUCAGAGCGACUUGCACAGCAUAUCAGAUUUGGUUGGCUAGGAACGCUCGUACUCUUGGCGAGCGUAGGAUGUCACCGAGGUUUGUAGCAGAGCUUGCUAGGGCACAUGCCACAGAGAUCAGGCCUACCCUAUCUACAGACAGACCUUUGACAGCUUGGAACACCUGGGGUUCCCCUCUUGCUUCGGCAGCUCCUCGGAUGGUGUUUUUCACCUGGGAGCCCCCACCCCCGAGCUUCCUCAAGGUCAACUUCGAUGGGUCGGUUUUGGAUGGCGGCAUGCGUGGCGGUGCAGGUUUUGUCAUACGGGACUCGCACGCUAGGGCGGUAGCCGUAGGUGGCUGCCAGUUGUUUGAUACAUCGGUCCCUGGAGCAGAGCUGUGGGCAGCCUGGGCAAGCCUUCGUCAUGCACGGAUUGUGUUGCGGACCAGCUCGAUUAUGUUGGAGGGCGACUCGACCACUGUCAUCGGGUGGAUUCAGAGGGGGUUGAGGGGUGAGGGCACAAACCACCCCUUGAUCCGCGAUAUUGUGGUGAUAAUGAGAGAUGGGAUGGCCAUCCAGGCCAAGCAUGUAUUCAGGGAGGCCAACGGGGCAGCCGAUUGGGUAGCUGCCUAUGUGGCCCACCAUUCGGGGUAUGCCCUUUGGUCGGAGGAGGGGGAGUUGCCAUUGACACUCCGUGAGUUACUGUAUUUUGAUCGUAUUGGGUGUAUUCACACACGUACUGUAUGAAGCACCUGGUUUAAGCAAAAAAAAAAUGGAGGGGGGGGGGGGGAGAUGUCAAACGAGCAAUAUAAAAUUAGUUUCAUUAAUUUUUAACAUAAUUCUUUUUAAUUCAUUAAGGUAAAAAUCUAGAAUAUCCCCUUCCUUCCGAUGGAACCUUAGUUUAAAUCGGGAUAAUUUUUUUUUUGAAAAAAAAUGAAACUUUUGCCGGCAGCAACCAUAAGUUAAUUUCUUUUUUUCUUUUUUGGAAAACAAAUUAAUUUCUUUUAAGGGAAUUGAUUUCCUUAGAGGGUUUUCUUGGAAAUUAAAAUCAUUCAGUGUUGGUGAUGAUUUCUUUCUCUGGAAAAAGAAUAACAUCAGAAAAAUCCUUUUAUCUAGUAAAUUUUUUUUAGAAAAAUUCCCUAUGAUAUCAUUUCACACUUUAUUUCUUCCUCCAUAAUUUUCUUUGGUACAAAUAAUGGCAAGUUCAGAGAAAGAACAACCCAUACAAAAUCCCUUUAAAAAAAAAAAAAAAACAACCUCCCGGUAUUCAGUUUGGAGUGUCAUUGAUGACGAAAUAUCGAAAAGCCCGUCGUCCGGAUUGUGAGAUCUAAUUGUUGGUACGCGCUAGUAUUGAUAGAAUUUUAUAAAUACAACCUCUUCUUUCACAUAAUUAUCAUGUUCCUCUCACCAAUAUGAUUGCAUAAUGCAAGGUUGCCUUGCAUUACCUUCUUUGUUGGUAUUGAUUGUGAUAAAUUCCUCACAACUUUCGUUGAGUUUCCAGUCUCUAAAGUAUUUGUGACGCAGUUUGAAAGACACCAGAAGAUCCAAAGUUCGCUCUUGUAUCCCUGAAGGCACUUGCUCGUGUAAAUCCACCUGAUUUAAUGUUGCAUUGCUGAUCUUGUUCUUUCCUUUCAACAACCUUGCUUGUCAUGUAAUUCGGCUGUAACUCUUCUUUUCUCCCUUCUACAAAAUAAGAACAAAAAGAAAUCGCCACCUUAGCAGAAAAAAUAAUAGACGGUUUCCUCACCAGUGGUGGGGUUAGUCUUCUUUUUUUCUUUUUCUACAAAAAAAAAGCUUUUAAAUGCGGAAUAUGAAUACUUUAGGAAGAACCAUGACAAUAAGAACAGGAUGCAUACCUACAUCAUAAUACCUUAGAGGUAUUCAGGAAAUGGUGGGAAGAACCUAUACGUUAAAACAUGCAAGGAAAGCAUUAGAAAGCAUUAGAACAUCAAGGACUAUUUAUGAACUGGUCUAGAGUAAUUUUGCACUACUUUCUCUAUAAUAUCUAUAAAUAAUUGCUGCUUAAUCGUUUUAACUUCUGUUAUAUACAUAAUAGCAUCAAGCAACACAAAUCAUUGUAGAGAAUGCACUUUCUGAUGUCUGUGACCCCAACGAUUACGAUAUGUGAAAUUUCUCCACUGACUUGCAAGUAAUGAUCCCGAAGACAUAGGCGUUAGAACGUCCAGUCUAUGUAGCAAUUUUGGUUCUAGUACUAUGGUUACACCUGACUGCCCUUUCCCCCUAGCCCUUCUUGUACGUCUCAUACAAAUUAGAGGCCUUUCAAGGGAUGAUGAUGAUGAUAUCAACUAGGAGAAUUAAAACGACCUUGUAUUUAAGCGGACGCAAGGCUCAAGCCUUGAUCCAGGGCUCUAUCAUUCUCCCCACAUUGAAUGUUUCAAGCAACAGUCAGGGUGCAAUGGAAGUAGCUAGGUUGAUGGUGUGAAAGAAUUUGCCAUGCAAAGUGAGAGGUGAAAAGAUACAUAAUUCUGCUGGUAAUUGAUUCCACCAUAUGUAUGUAUGAUUUUAUUUGAACAUUUGUGUGUACUAUGUACAUAUGUAAGCUUUUCAUGGUUAAUUACAAAGAUGAUCUUUAACUUUGUCCCAGGGUCAUGACAUGAAUCAUUUCCAGCGCUUCGCAUUCUUCAAUCCUUUAGAUUUUGCCUUUGCUUGCUGAAAAGCCUUCAUCUUCUGCUUCUUCCUGGCUUCUUUCUCUUCCUGUAUACAAGCCAAACGGUGACACAGUAAGAUUGUCGUUACGUCGUUCUGUUGACCCAAGUCUUUAGAAAUACAUACAGCACAGAUUGAGGUGCAAGUACCUUUGACAUUUUAGAUUUAGCCUUUAUUUUUGGAGCUUUCUCCUCGAGCUCAGCCUCACGGUCAAGUUCUCUUUGUCUAGCAUCAAGGUUCUUUUCAAGAUAAUACUGUCGAAAUAAUCAAGGAGAAACUAAAUUAUUAUACCAUAACUAAGAAGAUGAAGGUAACUGUAAAAACAAAAUACAAAUGAAAGAAUAUAACCUUAAUAAUACUCCUACCAAACUUUAUGUACAGAGGGAAUAAACAACAAAACAGAACCCAGGGAAGAGACCCUGAGUCCAGUAGUGAUCAUGCUUGGAUAUAUCAGGGAAUACUUUGUGGCACCAAAUUACUGGAACAAUGCAACUUUAUUCAAUUUGAUUUGUUCUCAGUCAUCCAAAAAUAUUUCAUAAAAUCUAACAAGAAAUGAUUAACUACCAUCAUCCUUUUGAUAUAUCUCCAUUAUUUAGACAGUAUAGAGAGACAAAUAUUAAACACCUUACACAAAUUGCAAGCCCAAUUACAUAAAAGAAUCAUAUGCAAGCUUCACGUGCCAAGCAGUUAUUAUUCUCCCAACUAGAUGGGACAAUACUGAUGGACUGCAUCACUGAUACAGCAAUUAUUGCAGGAAAUAUAUUUGUUUAAGUUCAAAAAUGAGUUCAAUGCUCGGGUGUUACAAAUGUGAGCAGAAACGUUCAGAUGCAAUUCCACAUUACACACAAUAAUGAAACUGCCAAGGAUUAAGCUAACUUUGGAGAUCGAUAACUCAUGCUUUCAUAGCAAAUAUAACUUUUUUAGAACAUUCCUUUUACAAGCCCAUGUUUUUAAAAUUAUUUACACUUCGCACGUUUUACUUCCUCAUAGGGUCUUGAAACUAAUGGAGAAACUUACAUUGUAAUCUCCUGCAUAGUCUUGUAGGCCUUUGUCUUUCACUUCUAUUACUCUGUUAACAAUUUGCCUUAUGAAGUAUCGGUCAUGAGAAACAGCAAUGACAGUGCCCUUGUACUCUGAUAUAGCCUCCUGUUUGAAUAUGACAGUAUUUCCAGAAUAAAAAGUUUCAGCUUAUGCAAGCAAUGCACUAUAGACGCAUAUGAAUUGCACCUAGAUGAGAUGAAAAAUGGACCAGCAUACCUCCAGCAUCUCUUUUGAUGGUAUAUCCAAAUGGUUGGUUGGUUCAUCCAAAACUAACAAAGUAGAUGGCUUCACCAUAAAUUUACAAAAAGCAAGUCGUGCCUGCACCAAAAUGUGAGCUGUAAGUUAAAAGUGUCAUAUACGAAAAUUAUGGACCUUAACCCGACUACAGAAAAUGCAGAUUCACUAAAGCGCUUGGAUGGCUAUCACACAACUCACUCCAUCAAUACUACUCUUAUAAACAAUCGAAACAGAAAAUAAGGAUAUAUAUAAUUUUAAAUCAGUAAGGAAAAGUUUAUGUAGCAUUAAGCUGCUUCGUUUUACAUUUCAGUUGCAGGUCUGAUAGUUGUGCCUUGUACACAAGAAGCCAGUAGCAUGUAAUCAUACAGCAUGUGCAAUAUAUGAGAAUGAGAUAAGAGGAAAUGUUGUGAUGGACAGUUGUGAUCUAUCAGACAUGUUUCCUCAUGCUUCUGUACAUAUUUGGGCACCUGUCCUUACCAAGCCUGGCCAAAUCCUCAUACAUAAGAGUACCGAUCAAACUGGCUUUGCACAACUAUUUACUCCAGAAGAACUCAAAGGUUCUGUUAAGAGUAUACAUUUUAAAUCUAUUUUUCUCAAUCUUGCUACAAAUUCAAAGAACACUAUCAGCCUUUUUUGUCCUUCCUUUCUCAUCGAUGAAGUGAUUAAGCGAGAAUAAGACAAUCUAAAAGCACAUGCUGAUUGAUUUCAUCCAUACUAAUUCAACUGGAGGUGCAUUCAUUUCUGCAACCUUCAGUAAAAUAUGUUCGAGAUAGCCAAAAUAAAGCACCUAAGAUUCUUAACAGUCAUAAACCAUGAUAUGCAUUAUCUUCAACAAUUUUAUCAUUAUCUUCAACAAUUCUAAUUUCUUCCAAUAUCAUCAUAUGCUCACUUUAGUAAUAGCAAUUUGGAUUUCACCUUAUUUAGUACUAUUGAGUAGUGUUACACAAAUAGCUUAACAUAAUGGAGCAUUCUGAUGCAUAUCAGUUGUAAGUACACCAAGGCCUGCUUGCAAUUUAAUUCCCAUACUUGUUUUUGCUCCCAAAUAUAUCAUUGACGUCAUCAAUGUUGGCUCUCUAUGCACACCCCUUUUCCUAAGCAACGACAAAUUACCCCUCAUAAAACUUAAUCAGAAUUAUGUUGACUGACUAUUUGACAUCUAAUGACCAAUUUUUUAAGCAAGAAAGCAUCCCUGAUGGCUGAUUUGUUUCUGGAGUGAAGUCAAAUUUGUUACUAGAUGCCACUAUCAUUUGCAAUCACUGCAUGUCAACACAUCUCAUGUACCAAAUUUACUAAAGAGUCUUUACAUACCCAAUUAAGAGAAUUAAACUGUUCUUUCACAAUUAUUGACCAUACGAAUUAUAUUUAAAAAUUUUGCCUGUGUGGGCCAAUAAGCCAAUAAUGUAUGAAAUAAAAACAAUGGAAUAGUAAAGACAUGUUGGAAAUUUAAAAUGGCCUCCUAUUGCUUCAAAUGUUAAUUGAGUAAUGAUAUAUACAAGGAUAUCAGCCCUGCUGAUACCUAGAGCUAUCAUUAAGGACUGAGGCCUCGAACCACGUCAAGACCCUACUAUACUCAAUUCAAGCCCAUAGACCUAUGGGGCAGGCAUGGGCCAAGCACCAAAGUUAGAUGAAUAAAUUUUUUUGGUCCAGGUCCAGGUCUAGCCAUAUGUGUCUCAACCUGAAUGCAGAAUACUCUAGGGUAUGGGACUGAUUUUUAUGAACCUGACCCAGAUUCAGACCCGGACCAGAUCAAGAUCCCAUAGUUUACUUCGUAUAUAAUGCAUAAGAUUACUCGUAUACCCUUUGCACUUCUUAAACAAUUAUCAACUAUACUUGGCUAUGUCACUUACAAAUUAUUGUGAGGGUGUGAAGGAAUUUAGCUUACUAAAUAGUGGAAACCGCUCAGGACCAGAACUAGACUUGAUUCACACCUAAAAACUCCCAAUGAAUGUCACGUAGGGUAUGGCCCUAACAUACCAUGAGCUACAGACACAAUGGGUCAUACAAAUUUUAUCCCACUCAAAUUGGACCUCGCCUGAAUCUUACUUGGAUAGUGUUUGGGUAAAAUUUUAGAUUUAAACCUUAGAUGAGUCUGGCCUAACUGACCUGUUAACAUUCCUACUUAUACUCCAAAAGCAAAAUAAAAAAAUCAGAAUAACAUAAUAAAAGUAGAAUGUCUUUAAAACACAAAAAGCAAAUGAAUCAGUUGCAUUACUUCGAUAAUUCAAGGCUCAAAAGCAAACUGAGCUUAAUAGUUCAUUAUCUUCUACAAAUUCGGAGGAGAAAUUUUGGUGGAACAACAAAUGCAUCAGGAAGGCUGAGAAAACAAAUGGGAAUAAGAAAACAAGCCCCCAAGGACUUAUUCCAUACCUUCUCUCCACCACUUAAAAGUGAAACUUUUCUAUCAAGCAUGUCGGCUUUGAAGUUACAACGGCCAAGAAGACCCUUUAUAUCAUCAAUCCUCCAAUCUUCUGCAGCUUCUUCUACUGUUUCAAGCACAGUUUUCUCCAAGUCAAGUGCUUCUGCCUGAUAGGAAAUUGUAACUUUUAGUUCAUGAUAACUUCAAUAUAAACAUAUCAUUCAGAAAAAUUAACAGCACCAACUGAAUUUGUCAAGGUAAUUUCAAACAAAAGCUCAUCAAAGUUGCAUCUCCAAAGUAAUAUAUCAAAACCUUCCAAUUUAAAGCAAUUUCUAGAUGAAGAAGUAAAUAAGCAUGUAUCGGUGCAUGACAAAGUGGGCUGUUUACUAUAGCCUACCAACAAAAUUUAUAUCUUUUCCUGUUCAUUAUAGAAGUUAUAAUUCCAAAGUGACAUCAAACAUCCUGGUGUUGCAUAGAUAAAAAGAUGUAUCAUUAGACAAGAAACACAAAUGCAACCGAGCAAAAUACAGUUACCUGGUUCUGCUCAAAAUAAUUCGGCAAAACAUUAUGCUCCCCAGUAGUGAUUUCACCUCCUGUAGGCUUCUCCAAACCCAUAAUCAAUUUAAGCAAAGUGCUCUUUCCACAUCCAUUUGGACCAAUAAUGGCUAUUUUUUCACCCCUUUGAACUAAAAGAUUUGCCUUAUUAAACAACACCUGGAAUUUGAAAGAAAAGAUGCUUAUUAUGACAAGGCAUGAAAAAGAAUCAGUAAUCAGAGCACAUGGCGUGUGUUAUUUUUUAUACGAAAAUUACCCAUAAAAAUAACUCUUGCAUUUAUAAAUUUUGUUGUACUGACCUCAUCUCCAUAUCCAAAUUGAAGAUUCUUGAUCAUUAAGACAGUUCUCCCACUCCUUCCACGUUCAGGAAAUCUGAUCUUCAUUUGCUUUCUUUGAAAAGGCUUCUCAACUUGCCCUUCUUCUUGAAGUUUCUCCAAUUUCUGUAAAAGUAUUGUAAUGAACUAAGUGGUAAAAUUGUCAAAAAAAAAAAUGCAAAGCUUGCAAUUUUAGAAUUUAAAUAAUCAUGUCAAACUCCAACAAACUGGAAACGUUAGGAGACAAAGCCUACCAAUUUUACCACUUUUCUGAUACAUUUAACAUGCACUGAUAUACACUGAUCAUAACUAGCAUCAUCUCAUGAUGAGAUGAUCUCAUAAUCUCAUCUACAUAGCAUCGUCAAGGUUUCACCAGAUAUAACGGUAAUAAUUCUUCAACUACCAGUCAACUAUUGUUGAUCAGCAUCCAAACUUGAGUGUCAUCAAUCAGUAUUUUACUUAGUGAAUUUAUUGAUAUGGUCUUAAACACAGAAGAAAAUAUUUUCUCUUGAGAAAGUGGGGGGAAAUGCAUGUUAUAUAUAUCAUCAUACAGGCUUCAGCAUCAAGGAACAUAAAUAAUAAAUUACCCUCUUAUUUGAAAAGUAUGUUUGAGUGUCAUCAAUUGGUAUUUCACUUGGUAAAUGUUGUGGAUAUGCUAUUGAAAACAAUACAGAAGAGACAAAAGAUUUUGUCACUUCCCUAUCAUGAAACAGCCUUGGUGCAGCGGCUGGAGGUCACGGGUUCAAACCAUGGAAACAGCCUCUCCUCAUGCGGCCAACCCUGCACUGGCAGAAGCCUCAUGCACUUGGUUGCCCAUUUUUUUUACAUCAGGAUACAAGCUUUUCAAUAUCAAUUGAAAUGAAUAUAAAUCAACCUAGUAUUUUGAAAAGUAUCUUUGCAAUCAGCACUGCUUUAUGAAUUUUCUGUCUCACUCUUACUGCUAAAACUGGGAAAAGUGAUCCAAAUCGUUGAUGAAGAGUAUGGAGUGGAAUAUAUGGCAAAGACUAGUCAUAUUCAGAAAAACCCAUCAUCUGCAUUACAAAUUGUAGCUUUACUUUGCUCUAUCAGGUAAACUAGUCCCAAUCCAACAACCAGAAAAUUGCAAAAAGCUGCUAAGGGUGCAACUCUUCAGGACUCCUUUGUCAUCUACAAUACUUGCUCAACUUCCAUGAAUCAUGAACAAAAGCUCGAUGGCCAAAAUAGACUUAGGAACAUGGUUGGAUUCAUUGAUUUAAUACCAAAUAGUUUCUUUACCAUUACCCCCAAAAGAUAUCAUCGCCAAUGUUCUUGAAUAACAAGUCACUGCAAUUUCAGUCUUCAUUUGUUUGCAAAGAAGCAAUAAGAUUACAUAAUGGUUUAAUAAUUACUCAAACUCCUUUGUCCAUGAUUCAUUAGAAGAUAUCUCCUUUCAUGCAAAUCUAUUGCUUAAUAUGCUCAUCUCACCUUGUUGCAGAUUCAGUCUUGGUAAUUCAUAAAGUAGUCUAUUUAAAGCACGUAUGGGGUUCAUAUAGACAGCUAAAUAAGGGGAAAAUGGCUGUAGGUAAUAUCCAGGUGCAUGCACAAAGUUGACAUAACCUAAAUUAGCCUGAUGAGCUACCUAUGUGGUAGAACUAGGAGAGAACUAACGAAGGGCUAGGGUUUGUUUGAAGAGAUGAAGAAGAGAAGGGAAAAAGAAUAAUCAAAUUGAAGUUGUAAGGAAGGAUAUAUCUCUGACUGCAAGUUAACCUUUAACUUGACAUUGGUGAAGAUUGCAGUAGGAUUCAUGAAUCCAAGCUCAGUUGACGGGAUCAGGUCAUCUAUUUAUUAAUAGCUACAUCAAUGUGUAUCAUGCAGUAAGCAGUGAGCAAGUAGGUGAGGUUUGACAAUAGUUACAUAGAAGAUACUACGGAAUAGUUCAAUACCCUGUAAGACCUGAUCAUCAAAUUACAUGCUUCAUAUACGCAUUGUUAAAUUAAUGUUUCCAGGUCAAAACAGAAUGACAAAAUACAAAUUCUGAACCAAUAAAAUGUAAAUGUGCAUCCAACCCGUAAUUGAAAAAAAGAUUGCGACAUUUCCAAGAUGUAUACUAAUAUCUAUUUGAAGAGGGAAGGGGAUAAAUGUACCAUUCAUGUUUCAUGACAUUAGUCGAUCUUGUUUUAUGGAAUGUUCAAAGAAACACACCUUUUCUUCACUAGAUGCACGCCCAGCAUUAACUCCAGCACUCAAUCUGUUUAUUAAGUCCUUUGUAUGCUCAAUCUCCUUCUGCUGCUUUUCCCAUGCUGCAUAUUGAGCUUCAACCCAUGCUGCUUUUGCUAGAACAUACUCAGAAUAGUUUCCCAUAAAUACCCUGGAUACUCCCAUAUCUGUUUCAACGAUUUUCGUGCAUAGUUGAUCAAGGAAAGCUCUGUCAUGAGAUAUAAUGACCAUUGGCACAUCUUGCUUGUUAAGAUAGCCUUCCAGCCAUUCAAUUGUGUCCAGGUCAAGAUGAUUUGUGGGUUCAUCAAGAAGAAGCAAAUCAGGAUCCUGCAAGAUACUAUAUUUUGUAUUAAAUCAAGUUUAGAGAGAACUGAUUAUGACAAGAAUCCUUAAUAAAAUAUAAAAAAUGCAUGAAUUAAAACCCAUCCCAAAAGAAAAAGGAAAUUUUUUUUUAAAAAAAGCCAGGGCUAUGAAUGACUCUUGACCAAUUUUUUGCUAAUACUGCACAAAAAUCCAAAGGGAUAGGAUAAGGUUUGGUAUUAGUCACAGUUCAUAUCAAUCCUGAUUCUUUGGAAUGAUUAGCAACACCCCAGUAAAUACCAUUACAUGCACACUAUUUUGAAUUGGAAGCAUAUAAAUGAAGAAGAUGGCUUUAACAAAGUCAACAAGCACAACAACAUGGCAAAACAACAAUCACAUAUAAAAAUUUAACAAAUAAUACAUGCCAAGAUCUUAGUACACCAACUUGUACUGCCCAAAUCCUUCUUUCUGCCUACAUGCUUACCUGAAUUAACUAAGCAAAAAUCAGGACAAUGUCAAAAGCCAUAAUGCGGAGGUACUAAAGUUUAACUAGAGAUAGAAACAAUGGCAAGCCUUACAAUGGGAGUACUAAUACAGCAGAGAAAAGGGAAACUACAUACUGUAGUUGAAUCACAGAACUAAUCUUUAUGGCUAGUGCCACAUAGAAGCCAUGCAUCUUCACCAUGACUAUGUAUCAGAGUGUUCUGGUCACAGGUGCAUAUCUCACUUCAACUGACCUUAGUGAUUCUGUUUUGUUCCCAUCAUCAUAUUUUUAUCAAAGGAAAACCACCAAUUUCUAGUUGAGAGUAUUGGUCAAGUCAGUGAUUAUAAGUGAUCUGGUCCCUUGAUCAACAUGACUGUGCUGAUCAUAUAAUGUAAGUGUAUGCAAGAGAUAUAACAUAUAAAUCAACAUAAUUCUUUAUGAUUUUGUCCCAUUAUAGCUUAAGAUGUUUCAAUGCUGAGUUGAACAUUUUUUCCCUAAAAUGAAAAUGAUAAGGGAGUGGAUUCUACUGGGCUUGCAUUCAUGGAGGCAUGCACAAGGACAGACACCAUAUCGUCGUACCAAAUUGCUUUAGACAAUCUUUACAUCAAGAAAUUUGUAACUUGGCUGAUAAAAACCUUUUGCCCCUGGAUCACUAUUUAAUAGUAGCAAUGAUUUUUUUUUUUAAAAAAAAAAACUGAUGGUAAGAAGCAAAUAUGAAGUAACUGUAUGAGCAGUCAACUUAUCAAUUGAUUUUUUUGUUUCUAUGCUUGUUUGUCUUUGAUAGUUAAGAUAUUAUUCUAUCAUAUUUGGUGUAUAAGGCCUUCUCUCUAUGUUCCUGUCUGUAACUAGGGAAGACUGAUCUCUUUAUUUGCAUAUCUAUGAGGCUACUCAUCAUAUGGUAAAAGGUUUAGUGCAAUGAUAAAAAGCUUGAGCUAAUAAGCACAAUGGCAUGGGCUCAAGUCCUAGGGCAGCCAUUUUGUGCACAAAAAAAAUAAAAAUAAAAAUAAAAAAAAAUCAAAGUUUAGGUUUGUCCCUGGUCUGCGCUCCCAAGACCCUGGAUUGCCGGGACCAUAAAUGGGUCUAUGGCCCUAUGAGGCUGCUAAUCACAUGACAGAUUCUGAAACAAUAAGUGGAUUUUACCGGGUAACUCCAUCAUCCAACCCUCAAGAAUCAGCAACAAUUUUUUUUAACUUCAAGUAUAAGCCCGAUUUUACUUGGAAAUGUUAAGUAAAAAUACCUGAAGUAGAAUUUUCCCAAGAGACAUCCUCAUCUGCCACCCGCUGCUGAAUGAUGCCACCAGCCGUUCAGAAUCCUCUGGUGCAAAACCUAGCUCAGGCAUUAACUUAUUAAUUUUAACAUCCACCACGUCAAGGUUCACAUCCUGUGCCCGUCUCUGGAGCAAGUCCAGCUCAUCCAGCAGCCUCCCCAUCAGCCCUAGAUCCUCCACCGAAGUUUCCAAAGCCUUCUGAACCUUCUCCAACCUCUCCGCGAUCUCCAUCUCCUCCUUGAAUGCACUCAAAAACUCCUCCUUUACCGUCCUACUCGGACAAACCUCGAAUUCUUGGGUCAAAAAAGCAAUUUUCAUAUUCUCCUUUGCCUUCACCACGUUCCCCGAAUCGGGCUCCUCCAAACCAGCAAUUAUCCUCAUCUGGGUGGUCUUCCCAGCACCAUUCACCCCUACCAACCCAACCUUCUCACCUUUCUUCACCUCCCAGCUCACAUCCUUCAGCAAGGUCACUCCUUUAAAGCUCUUGCUGAUGUUUUCCAACCUAACCCCCGACGAGACGCUCGAAGCCCCACUGCUCGACUUCUUUUUCCCCUGCCUCUUCGCCCCCUCGUCAACAGAGCUCUCCGAAAAGAGGGAUUCUAUGUCUGCGGCGGUCUCGGCAUCCGUGACGGCCGUUUCGACCGCGGCGCUCGCGGAGAUGCUAGGGUUUCUACUUCUAGGAUUAGCAAAGCUAGUCUUUUUCGCUAAGGAUACAUGGAUUCGCCAGGUUUGAGGGGGACAAAUCCAGACUGGGCGGAACCGCGGCCGGAUCCUCGCCUUCCCGGAGUCUAAAAGAGGGGAACCGGAGAGGAAUCCCGAUCGGAGGUCGAUGCCCCGGAGCUUGCUGGACAGAUCCAUCGACGGCGAACGGAAAAGUGGAAUUCGGCCCAAAAAUUCCAGAAAAACGUUAAGAUUCGUCAAAGAAUUGGGAAGCUGGAGAAGAGAAUUGGGUGUAAUAUCAUAGAAAUAACGGUUAGGAAAAAGAUUUGGGGGGGAUUGGGGAGAGAGGGCGGGGUUCUCUCGAGCUCUAAGUGGAGAGAACGAGAGAGAACAAAGGUCGAAGUGACCCAUCGACACAACUAAAUUCUGAUUUUAAUUUCCAUCUUCUUUUGUAAAUCCACUCAAUCCCCUUACUCUUAUGAUUAAUUACUAAAAGACCAUAACUCCUAUUGGAGUCAGAAUGUAGGUAAUGGCAUUUUUUGUUAUUAUUUUGAAAUGAAUGAAUUUUUUUGGUAUACAACUUGAUAUGAAUGUUUCAUGUGGUUGGGAAAUAAGGGCCGAUUUUGAGAGGCAGAUAACGAGGAUUGCGAACGUGAGGGCUGGUAGCGGUCCACGAGUACAGUGAUGACUGCCAACCAUUUGUGACCUGCCACGUGUUAUUCUGAUGAUCUCCGGGGCCCACAAGUUCCAUCAGAGCCUACUUGUGGACCAGCGUGUUGCGUUUGUGCCUCCGGUUUGAUUUGUGCUCCAACUGAAUUGCGUCGCAACACCAAAAUCCAAGUCCAAAUCCAAAUCUUUUGGCAUGAAAGAUUUUAACCACAUUUGGCUGACUCAGGUGGCUGCAUAAAUGAUGGACCCACGAGUUACAUCUAAAUUGCACCGGAAUGGUUUAAAGUGUGAUUAAGGCAUCACCGAACACCGUUGCUUUUCUUGUGCAUGAUUGACUUAUGGCCAAAUUGCACCAAUUCAUGUAGAAAAGCAAGCACAGUCAAAUAUUUAGUAGAGAUAAAACUACUUGAUUGGUGUCGUAUCUAGUUCUCAAAAUUUCCAACUUGAGCUGGGCUCGAAUUUCUUAAAACUAAGAACAAUGUCUUUCAUAUGGGCCUGGGUUCAAGGUUGAUCAUAAUAAGCUCUAAGUUGUUUGAUACGCAGCUGGACGUCAACUAUUUGCAUGCAGAUUCUCUUGGUACCCACUAUGAGUAAAAUUAUCCAAAUGAUUCUCUCUGUGUCAUCGAGCUGAUUGAUGGACAGCCCUGGGAUUAUAGUAAACCCUCUAGGAAUAGGCAUUUCCUUCUUGAGUGGUCUUUUUUUUACGACUAAUUAUUAAUAUAGAAAUAAUGAAGUUAGUAAACAGAAGAGUUUGAACCUACAUGAAGCUGUAGAUGAAAUUAUUUGCAAUUGAAAACUAUAUUAGAAAGAAGGGUUUUUUUGCAUGAAUACCCCGCUAAAUAUCAAAUUUUACAUGAAUACCUUUCUGAAAUUAAUAUUUAUACGUAUACCAUCAUAAAAUAUUUAUUUUGCUAUUAUAUUUUUUUUUUAUCCUAAUUUUUACAUAUGUACCUACGCUACCUAACGUCGUUAAAAAAUUAACGGUUUUAAAUUAAAAUAACUAAAAUACCCUUAAUGGGUAAAUGUGCCAAAAGAAGUAUUUAUAAGACGAUCGUGAAUUCGUGAUGGAAGAUAAAAAAAGUAAUUUCGAAAUUUUAUUUUAUUUUUAAUUAAAAUAAAUAAGGUUUUUAAGAAGGUAUUCAUCUAAAUUUGAAUUUUUAGAAGGAUAUUCAUGCAAAAAAAAUCUUGGAAAGAAAUUAAUGGGGGCAAAAUGGAUCGUUCAGCCCACAACAAAAGGGCCAUCCAAUUUCGGCCCCAUAGACACCAUGCCGACAGACGUGUCCUCGGUCCGGCUCAGAAUCAGCCCGACCUCGAAGUCUGCCGAAAAUUCCUUCAACUUUGGAUAUUCGCCAACUCGCCCGAAUAAGUUCGGGGCACCUCCUGUAUUUGCCGACUCGUCCGACCAAGUUCGAAGCGUCUCAUGUAUUCACCGAUUCGCCCGACGAAAUUCGGAACGCCUCCUGUAUUCGCCGACUUGCCCCGACCGAGCUCGGGGCGCCCUCUCCAGUAAUAUGCUCCAACCCUUAAACUCGGAGUGCUCUACCAAGCACACCUCGGAACUCGGGAUGCUAGGUUGGCUUCAGCACUCGUCUAGCCGACCUUACCAAAUGCUUGAUGUAACUUUUCAACGAGCUUGGCCUCGCCAAUGGCUACACCCUCUUAUGUGGCAGCAUAUUGCGACGCCACCACGUCAUACUUCACUUACCGGCCCACGACAGCCAAGGACAGUGCCAUGUUACUUUGGCCAUACCCUGCUACGGCUGUCAACACCUUACCGUUUUCAAGAACGGACUCCAUUGCGUGCCACAAGCAAACUCUACUUACGCGCCACUCCCACUCAUGAUGGAAACCGGCCAUACCCUGCUAUGGCUGUCAACGCCUUACCGUUCCCAAGAAUGGACUCCACCACGCGCCAUAAGCAAGCUCUGACUGCGCGCCACAAGCAAGCUCUGGCUGCGCGCCACUCCCACUCAUUAUAGGAACAGACCAUACCUCCGCCACCUAAGCGCUUCUAUCGGAACUAUAAAAAACCCCAAGUAAUGCCUAAGAGACUUUUUGGCUGGACCAACUAGACCCCACUCUAACUUAAUCGUCGAAGGGCCCUCACCGAAAACAUCGAUGAGGCUUUGUGCUGGUACAUCGCCGAUCGCGGCUCCUCCGACUCCUCCGGCGUGGUCACCCUCGGGACAAAUUUGAACCACAACAGAAAUGAUCCUACAAUUAGAGCACAAAAGAUGAGACUAAGCAGGAAGCUGCAGCAACGUUUGUUUAUAAAAUGGAUGAAACUUGGCUAGCUAUCGCUUAUCAUGUCCAAAUGGGCCACAGGCGGGGAGGCAAACGGCCCAGCCCAUAGAUCCAUGAAGGAGGCCAUCCUGUUGGCCCACAUGGCUGGCCCAUGCAGACAUCCCUGGCCCACAGGACUUCUGCGACACGCAGAAAAUACUUAAGAACUAUCCCAAUUCCCAUCAACCAAGCACUGGCCGUUGAUCCUUAUGAUCAGAUAUAUGUGAUUAAGGUAAAAAAAAUGAAAACAAUAUUGUUGUAGGGAUGGAUACCUUCAUUUUCGGACGCAUUUGACGUCCAUCAUAGAAAAAACAAAGGGAACAACUAGAGUCAUGAAAGAUAUGAGAUAUCCAGAGUAUGUGAUUACUGGUUUAAAUCACGACUUUGGACAUAGACAUAUCUAUCAUUGGAAAGCCACCUUCCUCAUCCACAUAAAGUAGGCUACUAUGAGACAAAUAGUGUUCCUAACGAAGCCCGCCUUUAAAUGAUGAGCUACAUCACAUGAUCCAUGUCGCUCCAUAAACCAUCAAUACGAUAUCUUUUGUCACUAAAGAACUAGGCUUAUUUAUACCACAUCAGAAUAUAUGCAGUUGAUUUGAAAGAUGGAGAAGAAACCAAAGAGGAAUUAUUCUCCGGCUCUUCUUCAGUCUAUCAUUCAAUGCAACCCACCACCCAACGAGAAUAUAUAAACAUGGCAGAAUAUCUCCUACCAUAUAUGCUUUUGGAACAUCUGGAGUGAAUAAUUGUGUUCGAACUAUUUAAAUAUAGACAUAUGAACCUUUUUUUUUUAAGUUGGUGAAGAUCAGGUAGGCGAAUCGUUCAAUUACUUGCAGAGAUUUCAUCACAAACUCAGAACUAAUACUCAAGCGAUUGGAAAAGCAUGCAUCCAAGACAACAUUUAACUUGGUCUGAGGGGUGUGGAUGACGACCAUACUCUACUUCGUGACAUAUGGGCCAUAACAAGAGAUGGAUCUGAUCUUUCAGGCCAAACUUGUUUUCCAUGAAGCCAAUAAGAUAGUAGAUUGGGUGGCCGCCUAUAUGACCAGCCAUAGGUGGAGAGCUGUCUUUGUUUUCUAAUUUUAUUGAGUGUAUUUGCACUUAUCAGAUAUAAAUCAUGCUUUCUAGCAGAAAAAAAAAACAGCAUUUUACUUUUUUAGAGAAGAAAAGGGCGCAAAAAAGUCAUUCCAGUGUCAUAUUAAAGCCAGAAAAUGAGGAACUCUUUUACAGCAUCGUCUCCUCUCCCAAUAUCAAUCAUAUGACAUCAGUAGUGGUCAAAAAGCCUUGCUCCUCUCUUUCUACCCCCCUGCCUCCCCUUCUCCUCUAAAUAUUUAUGGCAAUUUAAGCACGAAUUGUUCAAAAACUAUUCAAAAAAAAAUUAUUGGACACAAUGCUUUAGCAUCAACAACAUUCUUCUGUUUAAAUAUAUCAAUAUUUUAAUUCAUCAUGCUUUUUUUUGCUUUUAAUUAUAUAUUUUUUUGAAAACCUUUUUAGAUUUCUUAUUGGAAUGUUUGCAAAUUAUUAAUUAUAUAUAAAAUGCAUAACGAACAUCUUAAUAAGGCAUGGUGAAGAGUUCUAGAAAUCUCCUCCAAAAUUUAAAUUAUCUUUUUUUUUGUAAUGUAACACCAUAUCUUCUAAUAAUUUCAUGCAGGACAUAUGUCCCACCAUCCAUAUUUCUAACCAAGCAUGUAUAUCUUUUUAUCUUACAUCUUGAGUAAUUACAUUUAUUUUUCAAGCCAAGGUAAUUAAGUUGGCUCGAGCACGCGGUUGUUAAUUACAAAAUUAAAAGUUCAAAUCUUGCUUCUAAUAUUAUUUAUUUAUUUAUUUUUAUUAAAAAAUUAUAAAAAGCACUCGUGCGACACUCAGGCACAGUAAAAUUAACAGACAUCCCACAUUAAUUUGGAUGGAAAUCUAUAGGGUGGGGAACAUCAAGAUUGUGUGGCUUAACUUGGAGACUUAAAAAUAACCAACCUCAUGAGUCACGACACUCUGUCAUUAGCUAAUAAUUCUUGCCUAAUAAUUAUUUCAACACUUUUUAACGCCCAGGUGGAUAACCCCAAGAUGGCUUUAAUUAUUAGAUUAGGUUAUGACAAAAUGUACUACUGGAAGGCACCGAACAAAAAAACAAGGCGUCUUUGUACCCAAAAGCAGGGGACUGGUGGAAGGGACCAAUACAUGGAGAAUCCAGACUCGCUGUUUGGGGUCCACUGCUGAUCCCAUUCACUCUCAUAUACAGCUGUAGAACUUGCACGCUUCUGAGAAUUAUCUAAUCAUAAUCCCAGUAGCUUCCCUUUCCAUCGCCGCUUCCAAGAGAGAGAGGGUUGCUUGGUUCCUUGUAGUGCGCUCCUCGGAUCGCUUCUGUUUUCCUUUUUGAAUAGGAAGAGAAGAAAAGAAACUGCAAAGAUUUUUGAAGGGAAGGAUGGAGGACCGAAAGGAGGUCAGGACGAAGUUCUCUUUUCUUCUCUUCUUGUUGAUUUUGGGGCUUUGAUGGUGUUAAUGAUAUCUCUAUUGAUGAGUUUUUACCUUCUUCUCUUGAGGAUUUUUUUUGGGAUCUUAUAUGCUUCCUGCUGGCUGAUUUAUUCCGUCUUUGUUUGAUUUUAAGGGAAGUUGGCUGGAUGUUGUUUGAUUUUUUUUUUUAUAUAUUAAUUUUUUGGGUGCAGCAGCAGAGCACAGGGUGGAUGUCGGUGCCGGCGUUCGGGGACUGGGAGCAGAAGAACGGGCUGCCGGACUAUUCCAUGGACUUCUCGAAGAUCCGGGAGAUGCGCAAGCAAAACAAGAUGGAUAUCUCCCGUUCCAGCCUCGGCAACGAGGACGACCUCAUCCGCCACCAACAUCGCCACUCCCAGUCCCACCCGAACCGUCCCCGGAGUCCGAUAACCGUCGAUCUCCACCGCCCGCACCACGAUCACUCCCCCGCCGUGAGUCAUCUCAUUCUUUCCUUCCCCUCCUUUGUUAUCGUCAUAAUCUUUGGUGUUAAAAAAAUUAAAAGAGAAAAAAAUAAAAGAUCAAAUGGUGGCCGUCAGAUCAAAAUGGGGACGAUGCAGGUCCCCCGUGGUCCUGUUAUUUUGGCCCUUUUAUCUGUGUGCGUGAGAGAGGAAAUGGUGAAAACGGGGACAUCAGCAUCGCGAAAUAAGCCUUUGGGAAACGCGUAGAGCACCUGAUCAUGGGCUAGACCUCGGGCUUAAAUUUCAUUUAUUUUUAAUCAAAUCUAGGCCAGACUUAUGUAACAUUUGACAUUUUCUGUGCCGCCCGGCCCAGGACGGAAAACGAAAAAAAUAGAGCAGCGGUAGUCGGAAAACGAGAAAGGGAAACGAUGGGAAACGGGAAACCGAAGGGGACGACACGGGAUAUUGUGGGGAGUCGGGAAGGAGGAAACGAGAAUGGGAAUGGUCAAACGAUGGGGAAAGGGAAUUAAAAAGACGAAAAUGAGAAACAAUGGUGAACGGGAAACGGGGCGGGAAUUCGAAAGGAUAACGGCGGCGGGAACGGGAACGAUUGGAUUGAUGCAGGGUCGAUGCGGGAAAGGGACCGGGAAACAAUGGGAAUAGAGAAACGAUUGGGAAACGGGCAAGGGGAAUCGGGAACUGGAAAGGGCAAAGUUUAAAGUGGGAAGAGGGAAAGGGGACCGGCUGCGGGGAAGCCGCUGUUGCAGACCAUUGUUAGGGGAUUGAUGAGGACGUUUGUUAUAUAAAUGAAGUUCGAAGCGACGUAACAAACUAAUCACGACUAUUUGGAAGCCAAAAAAGAUGGCAUCUCAGCUUGCCGAGAGCUCCAUAUAUGAGUUUGACCUAUCAUCAUUUGCAUCAGAUCCCUUAGAACAUGGGAUCUGGAUUUCUUAAAGUUUUUCCAACUAAACGGCUGUCCUUUGACGAUUUGUUUAAGUAGAUUCAUACGGAUUAAGGUUUUGUAGCGCAUCUUGACUUGGUCCAAGAUUCUAGAGGCUUCAAGUAAUAACUCAAUUUUCUUUUGGUUUUUUUUAUGCAGGGGCGGAAGAAGUUCAUGAGCUACUUCCAAUGCUGCAUAAGAGCAUAAAAUGCUGGCUUCCACAACCUUUGUAGGAAGAGAGUUUUUAUCUACAGGAGCUUGGGAACAUGGCCAUGGCCUCCACAACUUCAGAGAUUUUUGUGGUUCACAAGUGGAUUGCCUUCUUUGUUAUUUUUGAGUGAUUAUUGCUUGAAAAAAACCCAAGUAUUCCGGACCUCUGUAUUUAAUCUACCUUGUCGCUUGAUUCACGGGUUGCCUGUCCAACACGCAAAAACGUUUGACAGCAGUAGUUCACGUGGGAGGUAAUGGUCCAAGAAUGAAUGGUUCCAAGUUGACCUGAUCAUGGGCCAGAUAGCGGGUCCAACUCAGUUUGGAAUAUAGUGGCUUUGAGCACUAAAAGUAACCCUGUCGGAUAGAUAUAAACGUAAAAAAGAUACAUAAAAAAAAAUUAUCUAAAAAUUAGGUAGAACUUGAAAAAAAUCAGAACAUAGCUCGACCCGGCCCACCCUGAGAUUAUAUGUUAAUUAUAUUGACUAAUUAUAUAUUAUAAUGAAAUAAUAAUAUAUUAUAUAGUCAAUAAGCAAAGUAUAUCUCACAUAUAUAAAUAGAUGAAGUUCUAACUCUCUAACUUUAUGUUGUUUGGCUAAAUAUACUGUUUAGAUUUUAUUGUUGCGCUAUAAAUUUGUAUUGCACUUAGCCUAUUAUUAUAGAAGGGGGGAAAGAGGAAACCGGCUUGAUGCGUAGGCCCGAGAUUGGCUCAAGGUUGGGCCCGGUCUCAGCAAACAUGUAAGACCGAUGUUCAGCCCACCAGGCUGGGCUUCGGUAUAUGCAUCGAGCUUAGAGUUGGGCACUGGGCCUGGCCGCCCACCGCCCGGCACGACCCGGCACGAAGCGNNNNNNNNNNNNNNNNNNNNNNNNNNNNNNNNNNNNNNNNNNNNNNNNNNNNNNNNNNNNNNNNNNNNNNNNNNNNNNNNNNNNNNNNNNNNNNNNNNNNNNNNNNNNNNNNNNNNNNNNNNNNNNNNNNNNNNNNNNNNNNNNNNNNNNNNNNNNNNNNNNNNNNNNNNNNNNNNNNNNNNNNNNNNNNNNNNNNNNNNNNNNNNNNNNNNNNNNNNNNNNNNNNNNNNNNNNNNNNNNNNNNNNNNNNNNNNNNNNNNNNNNNNNNNNNNNNNNNNNNNNNNNNNNNNNNNNNNNNNNNNNNNNNNNNNNNNNNNNNNNNCUUACUAAUCAUCAGUGAUUCAGUGAAUCAGUAUUUACUCUUCAGUAGUGUUUGUAUCAUCAUCAUCAGAGGAUGUUGUAUUAUGUCCACCUUUAUCUUGAAGUCUUGCCUCAGCAUCCAACCAAUCUUUGAAGCAGAGAAGCAUCUCCACCGUUUCGCCCGUCAUCCUACUUCUCUUUUCGUCAAGAACACGCCGACCUGCACUAAAAGCGGAUUCCGAUGCUACCGUGGACAUCGGCACAGUUAAAAUAUCGCGUGCAAUUGCAAACAUAACUGGAUAUUGAUUUCUAACACUCUUCCACCAAGAUAAUACAUCUAGAUUCUCUAUUUGAUUUUCAUCAUAUGCAGACUGAAGAUCAUUUCGUAAAUAAAAUUCUAGUUCACUACUUAAAGAUGAAGAUAAACUUGAAGCAUGUGUGUGUUUUCUCUGUGCAAUGAAUGAAAAAAUAGAUGGCGAACGAGAACUACUAGAAGAAGAAAUAGAGGUUUGUACGGAAAAUCUAGAUCCACGAAUUUUUUCAUCAUAUAUAGCAUAAAUAUCAUAAAGAAGUUGUUUUACCUCAUUUUUAGCAGGUUCAGGAUCUUGAUUCAUAUUUUCACAGUAUGCAUCAAGUAAAAUUAGCACGCCAUUUAAUUUAACUCUAGGAUCAAAUACAGCAGCUAAGUUAUGCAUAGGACAUAUCUUGUCCCAAUACU
rnacentral:lncRNA from 1 species